rnacentral:lncRNA from 1 species
GAGUGAAGAUCUAACCCUCUCUAAUCACAUUACAAUCUUGGACCAGCUUUCUAGAUUCUUGAAUCACCAUCCUCGGCUCUCCAACCUCCUAAUUGGCUCUCCAAAUCAUCAACCUGAGCCAAUCCUCGAUGGCAAUAGAUAUAAACUCAAUUUAACAAUCACAAUAUUUUAGGUUUAACUUUUUUCAUGCACUUAUUUGAGGUUGUUUACCUAGGAAAGGGGACAAGUUUGAACGCGUUUCAAAGACCGAUGCUUGUAAAUGUGCUAGAACACUUUGAUUUUGGGGCUCAAUAG